AGCGGUAACAGACAUUUUGAUUUUGCUUGCAAAAUCUCGUGCUGACGAGCGGCGAACGGGUGAGUAACGCGUAGGAAUCUACCUAGUAGAAGGGGAUAGCCCGAGGAAACUCGGAUUAAUACCGUAUACGUCCUUAGGGAGAAAGAGGGCUUAGCUUUGAUGCUCUCGCUAUUAGAUGAGCCUGCGUAAGAUUAGCUUGUUGGUGAGGUAAAGGCUCACCAAGGCGACGAUCUUUAGCUGGUCUGAGAGGACGAUCAGCCACAUUGGGACUGAGACACGGCCCAGACUCCUACGGGAGGCAGCAGUGGGGAAUAUUGGACAAUGGGCGCAAGCCUGAUCCAGCCAUACCGCGUGUGUGAAGAAGGCCUUCGGGUUGUAAAGCACUUUAAGUAAGGAAGAAAAGAGUAUUGUUAAUACCAUUACUCCGUGACAUUACUUACAGAAUAAGGACCGGCUAAUUCCGUGCC
rnacentral:rRNA from 1 species